rnacentral:tRNA from 1 species
GCCCGGGUGGUGGAAUUGGUAGACACUACAGACUUAAAAUCUGUUGGCUAAUUGGCCGUGCCGGUUCGAGUCCGGCCCCGGGUA